GGGUGUUAGCCGCAUGUCGCGGCGGGACAGGUUCAUGCGAUGGUCGGGCCGCCACG
rnacentral:ncRNA from 2 species